AUUGAACGCUGGCGGCAUGCCUAACACAUGCAAGUCGAACGGCAGCACGGGUGCUUGCGCCUGGUGGCUAGGUGCGGACUGGUGAGUAAUACAUCGGAACAUGUCCUGUAGUGGGGGAUAGUCCGGCUAAAGCCGGAUUAAUACCGCAUACGAUCUACGGACGAAAGCGUGGGACCGUCUUGCCUCGCGCUAUUGGUUUGGCCGAUGGCUGAUUAGCUAGUUGGUCGUGUAAAGUCCUAGCAAGGGGACGAUCAGUAUCGGGUCUCAGAGGAAGACCAGCCAGCCUGGGACUGAGACACGGCCGCGACUCUUACGGGAGGACGCAGUGGGGACUUUUGCGCAAUGGGCGAAAGCCUGAUACAGCACUGCGGGGUGUGUGAUGAUGGAGCUAGGCCUGGAAAGCAAUUUUGUCCUGAAAGAAAUCAUUGGCCCUUAUCCGGUAGGAGGAUGACUGUACCGGAAGAAUAAGCACCGGCUAACUACGUG
rnacentral:rRNA from 1 species